rnacentral:rRNA from 1 species
UACGUAGGGGGCAAGCGUUGUCCGGAUUUAUUGGGCGUAAAGAGCGUGUAGGCGGCUUUACAGGUCCGUUGUGAAAACUCGAGGCUCAACCUCGAGACGCCGGUGGAAACCGUAAAGCUAGAGUCCGGAAGAGGAGAGUGGAAUUCCCGGUGUAGUGGUGGAAUGCGUAGAUAUCGGGAGGAACACCAGUGGCGAAGGCGGUUGCCUGGGGCUUUGCUGACGCUGAGGCGCGAAAGCGUGGGGAGCGAUCCGG